UUCAAUUACAAUGAUUUUUUUUUACUAAACGAUAGAAUAAUAUUAUUCUAAGAACUAUUUACAUCUUGCUCUAAUAAAAGUUAAUACUGAAAAAGCAACUUGCUAGACAGAGAAGAUACAAUACUAAAAAGUAUUUUUACAUUUAAUAUUAAACAUAUGCUUGCUCCCGGCAUAACCAUUAACGUACAGAGUUAUAUUCUGUAUAUAAAAAACUACAAAUAGGCAACACUUAAAACUAAAUAAAAAAACAGAUAAAUUACGGUAUCAUAACUGAGUAAAACGAACUGUCCAAUUUAAAAGGUGAACAAAUAUAAAAAAUCACAAGUCGGUAGACCUAAUACUGAGUAUCAAAUCAUAAUUAACAGUUAAAAUCACAGUUUCAUAGACUAGAAACAAAAUUAAAAAUACAAAAUUGUAUUAAAUAAUAAACAUUAACAACGAAAAAUUAUCACAGUGAUGCGUCAAUUAAUAACAAUUCCCUAGCCUCUGUGCGAGCCGGGGGAAGUCCUCGCGUAGAAUUCAGGGAUGACAUGCGCAUCCAAUCCAUUCGUGUCCGGAGCACCUAGAAUACCAAUUGGGGAGAGGUAUGUUACACCAGACCAAUCCACGUUUCGUUCCAUCUCGAAAAUUUCAUUCAUUAGAUUGUUUUCAUGUGUGGCCAGGUUAUCCACAAAUUUCCUUUGUAGGGACAUUGCAUAAUUACAAAAAGGCACAACCUCUGAUUUCUCAUAGAUAUAAGAGUUGGAAUAACGCUUCGUUUGGCUUGCAAAAUUCUUGUUUAUACAUUUUCUCAGGAUCCUUCCCUCGAAUACCUCUAAUUCUUUUGCCACUAUUGGUGAAAUAGUAAACCAGAUCGGAAACGCAUAUACCAAGGCGGACCUGAUUGCCACUUUAUAUAGUAAUAACUUUGUAUUACUCGGAAGAUAUUUACUGUUAAACAGACUGGUGAACAUGCAAUCAAUUCUUUUGGCCUUCGUAAGAAUUGUUCUGGCGUGAUUGUUAAAUUUGUGUAGUUUAUCAAAACUAACACCCAAGUAUUUUAUAGAUGAUUUAAAUUGUAUUUCAAUUUCGUCAAUGUAAAGAUAUAGAAUCUUGCUUUCUGGAACCACAUAUCUCGCACAUUUUCCAGAGGCAUUUCGAAUACAGAUGGCUUCAGAUUUAGAUACAUUAAUCCUAAUACCCCAUUUCUUCUAGUAGUUACAAAUUUCCUCCAGGUGAGAUGCUUCUUUAAGAAGUGCGCGAUGUGGAGAUUCAUCAUGUGAGUACAACAGACAGUCGUCAGCAUAUAGUAUUGCAGUAGAGUUACUUGUCAGAUGGGGAAAAUCGUAACGAAAUAUAUUAAAUAACAUAGGCGCCAGGACACUCCCCUGGGGGACUCCAGAUUUCACACAUCCAUAGUCGGAAAGACAAUUUUUUAUCAGAACUCUGAAUGAACGGUUCAAGAAAUAAUUUUGGAAUAAUUUUAUCAAAAAAGGGUCAACUUCCAGCUCAAUCAGUUUGUAUAAGAUACCCCUGUGGAAGGCAGUGUCAAAUGCUUUCUCAAUAUCGAGUGAAAUUACCACCGUACAAAAUUUUCCCCGCAGAUGUCGCACGAUGUCAUCAUGAAAUUUCAAAAGCGCGUGUUGUGUUGAGUGAUAACGUUGGAAUCCAAAUUGAUUUCCAUACAUCUGGAAAAUAGCAGUUAUUGAGACAAUUAUUAAAAAUGAUGACCAGCAGCUGUAUUACACGAUCAGGAAACCUUCUAAUUAAGAAAUUGGACACACCAUCAAAGCCAGAAGAUUUUUUAUUGUUCAGCCCAUAAAUCACGAAGGUGAAGGGUAUAAUAAACAAAAAAAUCAAAAACAUCAUUGAAUUUAAAAAUAUUUUUUGACAUACCGACCAAAUUCUAUAAUAUUUUAAUUUUGAAAUGUAUUAAUACU